AGAUUGAACGCUGGCGGCAUGCCUAACACAUGCAAGUCGAACGGGAGUAGCAAUACUCUAGUGGCGGACGGGUGAGGAAUACGUAGGAAUUUGCCCUUAAGUGGGGGAUAACCCGGGGAAACCCGGAUUAAUACCGCAUGACCUCGAAAGAGCAAAGUGGGGGAUCGCAAGACCUCACGCUUUUGGAGAAGCCUACGUCGGAUUAGCUAGUUGGUGAGGUAAUGGCUCACCAAGGCGACGAUCCGUAACUGGUCUGAGAGGAUGAUCAGUCACACCGGAACUGAGACACGGUCCGGACUCCUACGGGAGGCAGCAGUGGGGAAUAUUGGACAAGUGGGCGCAAGCCUGAUCCAGCAAUGCCGCGUGUGUGAAGAAGGCCUUCGGGUUGUAAAGA
rnacentral:rRNA from 1 species